CCUACGGGAGGCAGCAGUGAGGAAUAUUGGUCAAUGGACGAGAGUCUGAACCAGCCAAGUAGCGUGAAGGAUGACUGCCCUAUGGGUUGUAAACUUCUUUUAUAUGGGAAUAAAACGUUCCACGUGUGGGAUUUUGUAUGUACCAUAUGAAUAAGGAUCGGCUAACUCCGUGCCAGCAGCCGCGGUAAUACGGAGGAUCCGAGCGUUAUCCGGAUUUAUUGGGUUUAAAGGGAGCGUAGGUGGAUUGUUAAGUCAGUUGUGAAAGUUUGCGGCUCAACCGUAAAAUUGCAGUUGAAACUGGCAGUCUUGAGUACAGUAGAGGUGGGCGGAAUUCGUGGUAUAGCGGUGAAAUGCUUAGAUAUCACGAAGAACUCCGAUUGCGAAGGCAGUUCACUGGACUGCAACUGACACUGAGGCUCGAAAGUGUGGGUAUCAAACAGGAUUAGAUACCCCUGUAGUC
rnacentral:rRNA from 1 species